rnacentral:rRNA from 1 species
UACGGGGGGGGCAAGCGUUGUUCGGAAUUACUGGGCGUAAAGCGCGCGUAGGCGGCCCCGUAAGUCCGCUGUGAAAGUCAAAGGCUCAACCUUUGAAAGCCGGUGGAUACUGUGGGGCUAGAGUCCGGAAGAGGCGAGUGGAAUUCCACGUGUAGCGGUGAAAUGCGUAGAGAUGUGGAGGAACACCAGUGGCGAAGGCGACUCUUUGGCCUGUAACUGACACUGAGGCGCGAAAGCGUGGGGAGCAAACAGG